rnacentral:rRNA from 1 species
AUUUAAGAGAGUUUGAUCCUGGCUCAGGAUGAACGCUGGCGGCGUGGAUAAGGCAUGCAAGUCAAACGGAUAUUUAUUUGUAGCAAUACAGAUGAAUAUUAGUGGCGAACGAGUUAGUAUUACCUUGGAACGUACUCCGAAGACGGGGAUAACUAGUCGAAAGAUUAGCUAAUACCCGAUAGUACAGCAAUGUUAAAGACGCAAGUCACUUCGGAAGCGGCCUAGGUCCUAUCAGCUUGUUGGUGAGGUAAUGGCUCACCAAGGCUAUGACGGGUAGGGGGUGUGAGAGCACGUCCCCCAACGAUGAAACUGCGAUACGGUUCAUACACCUACGGGUGGCUGCAGUCGAGAAUAUUCGACAAUGGGCGAAAGCCUGAUCGAGCGACGCCGCGUGCGGGAAGAAGUGCUUCGGCAUGUAAACCGCUUUUGCGUGGGAGUAAUUUUGAAAGUACCACGAGAAUAAGGGGUU